UUUACGUUAUUUCUGCGAUUCUGGCAGUAAAUAUUGUUGAAGGAAAAUGGUAGGAUGUAGCGCGGUAAUGUGCAGCAGUUCGAGUGAAAAAGCGCAGAAAAUGUUUCGCGUGCCCUGGGAUCCUGAGCGUCGCAAGCAGUGGGCAGUGGCCAUCCGCCGUCAGACUCCGAAAGGAAAACUGUUUGCCCACUGACCAUAGCAGGCUGUACGCUGACCACUUUGUAAAGGGGUCGCCGAGCUAUGACCCUGACGAUAUCGACUACGUGCCGACGUUGUUCUUCCACGACGAAGCGAGCAGAAAGCGUUCGCGCCGCAUCAAAAACAGCCAUGCACGUUAUGAAGGCGUCACUGCAAAGCGAAGUCCUCACGUGCGAGCUUUGCAGUCGUCGCAAGUGCCGGCUGAAGACAGUUCAGAGGACAUAGUGCAACUUUCGACGCCGCUUUCUGCAUCACUGUCAAGUUC